AGGUUUACUGGGAAUCGGUUGGUUCCUGCCACAUUACCAGUGCCAAAGCUGUACAGGGAACCAGAACUGACAAUUGCCUCACUGACAAUCCAGAAACCAACAAUAUUACCGCUGACGGCGAGUUCGUGUCAAGUGUCUAGCCUGACAGGCGGGAAGGGAUCCCAACUGGCCAAGCUUGUGGCCCUGCGGAGACAGCAACCUGUCGAGUAUAAAGUUCCGUCCGGGUUCUGUAUUACAACAGCUGCCUUUCGGAUGCAUCUACAAGUAAGAGACAGUUCAAAGAAUUUCACAUGGUUGGUAGGAAUAUCUUAAGUGGCAAAAACUGAACAGAUAUGAAAUCUUUAUAGUGUUCACGUGUCAACAUGCAUCAACCUGUCCACCGCUUAUUCGUUUGUAUUGCCUGGUAGACUUUAUUCACGAGUCGGCCACAUUGAAUUGAAAGCAAGGUUAACUUUUCAUUUCGGUAACCCAAUAAGAAAACUGAAAGUAUGACAUGAAAGUACACCACGAAUUAAUGCAACUAGCGUUGCAUUUUAAUUUAAUUUUCGGAAGAAUAACGACGACAUGCAGAGAGCCGUGACGGAACUGAAAGAAGUGUCAUGUACCAUACGAGAGGGCGACCUCAUGGCAACAUG